rnacentral:rRNA from 1 species
CGGCGGACGGGUGAGUAACACGUGAGUAACCUGCCUUAGACAUUGGGAUAGCCUCGGGAAACCGGGAUUAAUACCAAAUAAAAUCAUAAUGACACAUGUCAUAACGAUCAAAACUCCGGUGGUCUAAGAUGGACUCGCAUCCCAUUAGCUAGUUGGUAGAGUAAAAGCCUACCAAGGCGACGAUGGGUAGCCGGCCUGAGAGGGUGAUCGGCCACACUGGAACUGAGACACGGUCCAG